rnacentral:rRNA from 1 species
GGUGGGCACUCUAAGGAGAACUGCCGGGUGACGAAACCGGAGGAAGGUGGGGAUGACGUCAAGUCAUCAUGGCCCUUACGGCCUGGGCUACACACGUGCUACAAUGGUACGGUACAAAGGGUUGCCAAGCCGCGAGGUGGAGCUAAUCCCAUAAAACCGAUCGUAGUCCGGAUCGCAGUCUGCAACUCGACUGCGUGAAGUCGGAAUCGCUAGUAAUCGUGAAUCAGAAUGUCACGGUGAAUACGUUCCCGGGCCUU